UUCAAAUUUUCUUGAUUGUCAUGAUUCUUAUGGACUGUGCAUAGAUGUGUUACUGAAUUCACAAUUAUACAGUGCAGUUGAAAUUAGCUUAUGCUGAAGCUUCAUCUAAAUUAAACUAUAAGUGUAAGCAUUUACUGAUUAUAUAUUAUUAAUUGUUUGUUUUGUUUGAAGAUAGGUUCUACAGUUUACUUAUUUUCCUCUCCCGAUUAUAGAUAAUUUGACAGAGGCAUUUUUGUUUUGUCGCAUUUUGUCGGGGAUGUACAUCGGAUCUCAAUGCUUCUCAAGUUUCAAACGCCACAGUUGCUGCUUCACAUCGAUACCGCCCGUAAAGCUUCCGGACCAAUAUGUAAUUUAGAAUGGUUUAUAACAUUAAUACAAACCAGUUAUAAUGAAUGCUUAUAUUAUGUGCUCACUCCUUGGAAUUUUUGUGCAUUGGUUUGUAUCUAUCUCAAUCUGUAUAUAUUAUUUAAGGAAUGGGAUCCCAAUACGAUUCGAGAUAUUUGCUUCUUACUUUAUAGAAUAGGUGUCAUAUUUUCCAUAUUUGAUUCAUUAUAGAUUCAAAAUGUUAUAUGAAAGCGCAUAAACACGUCAAUGCUAUUUGUAGGUGAGUCACAUCUCCGUGUUGUCUCCCAAUCGUAUGGGCUUGAAUGACAAGGAUAUUGUUGCACUGUAUGGGGCACAUACACUGAAGAUGCUUUGUUUAAGAUUCAUGAUAGAGUGGUUGUUGAGGAAUUACACAGUGAUCAGGAGGAAGAAUGCGAUCCUCAAGUGACUUCUAGGCUAUUAGUGCUGGCUGAUCAGAUAAGAUGUGUUCUUGGAAAAAGCGGGCAGAUUGUUCAGACCAUGCGCAUUGAAACUGAGGCUCAUAUUCGUAUACUUAAGGAUGACCAUAUGCCUCUAUGUGCCUUGCGCUCUGAUGAGCUUGUGCAGGUUAAUUUUAUUCAAAUUACAUUAUACUCAUAGUUCUUUUU